GUGCAGGGAAAGAGGGGGGUCACCUUUGAGGGAGAAGGUUCUGGACUCUUUGGAAGCACAUGUCAAUGUCCGGCUUCUUGCUGGCCAGCGCUCGCCCAUCACUGAUGCUCUGAGUGACUGCGGGGUGAGCAGAGGAGGGAUCCCUGCCAGGCACUGCCUGGGGGAAGGGGUUGUCUGAGUGCCUUUGGGGUGCGGUGCCAGGGUGGGGGGCACAAGUUUCUGGCUCCCCCACCACCUGCCUCCCUCCCCACCAUGCCCCCAUCCCCCCCACCGAGGGCACGAUGCCUCAUCACUGCAGACAGGAGGCGCUCAGGGAGCUCAGUAUCGGGUCCACAGGCCCUCAGCUUCUGCCCGAUGCCAGGGAGUGGCUGGUCUCCAAGUUCACCAGGGGCCACCACACAGCUCGGGGGUGGAUCCCGUCGGCAGCAACCGCCCACAGCGGUGACUGUCCCCCUUCAGCUGCACACCCCGUCAUCACGCCCGGGCGGCCUUUUCCAUUUCCAAGGUCAGCUCUGAGCGGGGUCCCAGAGGGUCCCCGCUCUGGGGGCUGCACAGAGCCUGGAAGUCUGGGGCAGGGGCAGACCCACGAGGAAGAAGCCUCUCCGACUGAAGCAGUCUUGGGAGGACAGGGGCCACCCAGCACCCAGGACCUCUCUGCGAUGCCCAUUGGCUGGAAGGUGGGGUGACAGGGGCUGGGGCGGGCGUAUGGCAAAAGGAUUCUUUAGACCUCAAGAAGCAAGGUGGCAGCUUCCUGCUGUGCUGGGCUGUAACGAUGCCUUCAGGUGUGUGUGUUGGGGGGUCCCUUUUAGACCUGCAUCCCCGUCAGCUCAGAGCCUGGGCACGUCUGCGUUGUUUCCACCCCGGUGGUGGCAUUUACAGGCGUGGACUGAGCUCACUGUGGAUGCUCUCGUGGGUCCUUGCUCACGUGGCACUUGACGCCCUUUCUGUCUGCUGAGGCCGCAGGGACGAGAAGGGGGCUGGCGGGCAGAGGAGCAGCUGCUGCCUUGGUGCUCGGUGGCUGGGAACCUUCUUCCCACGGCUAAGCCUCUGUUUCCUCCUCUGGGAAGUGGGGCGUUAACUGAGAUAACGCGUGGAAGGGCCCAGCCUGGUGCCUGGGCAUGCUGGACACCUGGAAAGGCAGCUGCCAUUCAUUCUGUCCAGGUGGGCUGUGGCAUCAAACGGCCGAGGACAGGAAUCAGGGGCCCCUCUGCGCGUCUCCACGGACAGAACCUUUCAGUGGCUGCCCCUGCCCCAAGUUCCCAGGGUUCUUGGUGGAGGGUGGGGGGGUCGUUUGGCCCAAGUCCCUCCCCAGCCAGAGACCCGGGCACAGGGAGCGGGAGGGGCUUGCUCAGGCUGUUCGCUGUUCUAGGCAGCGGGAUACAGAGAUGAGGGCUCAGCCCCUGGAGGAUGCCAGGCAAAGGGACUGGGAGCCGUGCGAUGCCUUCAGGGACCAUCGAGGGAGGCUGAGAGCUCUGGAAGGGGCCUGAGCCGGGACAUGAAAGAGGCGAAGCCAUUCCCCGUGGAGGAUGGGAGGCCACUGGAGGCGGAGGGAGUGACGGCACUCGGGGUGUUCUGGGCCCUGCGAGUAGCCAGCUUGACGUCGGGAGCCUAGGACACGGUGCAGAGGGGGUGGAACAGGUCACCAGCAGCAGAUCAAGGGGUGCACAGGUGGUCUAGACGUGCGCAGCCCUAGUGCACGGGAGCAUUGCCCUGUCACCUUUUGUGCCCCCCCCCAACCCCAGGGUCUGAUGUGUUAAUUGUGUGUGACAGCUUUUCAACUAGUGAUCACUCUUAAGCCGUUGAUGGUCAAUUUGUUUUUCAGGCUUUCUUUAAAAUGAGUCUCGGUUUGGCUUCCAGGGGUAGGAAUCCCUGGCUGGAGUUGCUUUUUCCUCUGUAGAAAUAUUUGCAUGGGCCGCUGGCCACUUCUCCUGGGAAACUGGAUGCUCUGUGGCAUUGCUCCCGUCCUUAGGAGAAUGCUGGGGGCCUGGAAAGUUGGACGAUGUGUGUCCACUCUCUGACCCACCUCAAGGCCCAGGCCGCGCCUCCCCAUGCCGGGCCGGGCUAUGCCUGCUUCCCUAGGUCAGCAGAGUGUGGUCUGGGAGGCAGAAAGGCCCGAGGCAGCUGGCCCUGGGUGGGGAGGCCCAGCUCCCUUUGGCAGAGGGGAGGCUUCCCAUUUAGUUUGGAUCAGCAAAUAUUGAUGGAGGGCCGGUGUGUGCCAGCCUGGGGAAGGGCCCCCCAGGUGACCCCCACGCAGGCCCUGUCCUCAGUGAGCUCCCUGCUCCCGAGUUCCUUCUGGGUUGACCUGGAGGCGGCCGUGCCAGCCUCCUGCCGUGUGCUGGGGAGUCCAGAACCAGGAACCUGGCCUGAGGGGCGGGCCACACAGCACGGGUGGGGGCAGGAGGGGGAGAGGACACAGAUGCCUCCCACCCCAGUGUCACGACCAAGGUGGCAUCCCCAGGUACUGGGCUGAGAAUCCUUCACCUUUGGGGGAGCAGACAAAGCGCCCUUGGCCUCCAGAGGAGGCCUGUCGAGGUUGGAGGGCUGCCAGCUGUGCGUUCUGGAGCCAAGUGCACGGCCUAGACCCCUGGCCCUGAUGGCCGAUGUGCCAGCAUCUCGAGCCCUGGCACUGACCGUGCAGUGCAACCGGCCUUUCGGUGCUUGGCACCAGCUCAGCUGUGGGCUUCCUGAAACUGGGAUGACAAAGCUCCAAACGGGAUUUCAGCCGCCCCUGCCCACCCGAGUGGAAUCCGCCCUCCCUGCAGUCUGACCAGGCCUGGGCGCCGAGGCCGGGGCAGUGGGUGGGCUCGCCUGUCCGUGGUGUGGACCCCGCAGCAGCUCAGAUCUCUGCACACGCGUGGGUGAGCCCGGGGUGGUGGUGGGGUUCACUGCUGUUCACCCACCCUGGGUUAAUAAGAUU
rnacentral:lncRNA from 1 species